rnacentral:rRNA from 1 species
AUUGAACGCUGGCGGCGUGCUUAACACAUGCAAGUCGUGCGGUAACAGGCGUAGCAAUACGUGCUGACGAGCGGCGAACGGGUGCGUAAUACAUGGGAAUCUGCCCUUUAGUGGGGAAUAACCCGGCGAAAGCCGGGCUAAUGCCGCAUAAGAUCUUCGGAUGAAAGCGGGGGAGUCGUAAGACCUCGCGCUGAUGGAUGAGCCCACUGUCGGAUUAGCUAGUUGGUGAGGUAACGGCUCACCAAGGCGACGAUCCGUAGCUGGUCUGAGAGGACGGCC